rnacentral:rRNA from 1 species
AUGGCGACGCUGCCACAGCGGUUCAAGCUGCUGGCGACGCGGUGCGCGGCGGGGGCGCCCAGCCCAUCGCGCAGCCCCGCGCCGUCGUACGCCACCAGCCCCGGGUACCGCCUCCGGCGCCGCCGCGGGUCGCGCCUGCGCCGCUUCCUCUGCCGCCGCGUCGGCGGCGGGCUGCCGGAGCCCGCGGGGCGCCGGGAGGAGGACAAGAAGCCGCUGGUGGGCCGCGGGAGCCGCACGCUGAGGGAUCUGUUCGUCGCGUCGCCGGAGGCGGGGCGCACCCGCCGCGGAUGCAGCUGCGACGCCGACAGCGACGACGACGAGGAGGAGGCAGGGCCCGCCGGCUCCGGCGGCGCGUCGGGGGCGGCGAGCGGCGGGGGCGCGAGGAGGUUCCGGCCCGCCGGCGGGGGCCUGCGGAGCCUCCUGAUGCGGCGGAGCUGGCGGCCGGUGCUGGUGGCGAUCCCGGAGAGCGAGGGCAAGAUCGAGCUCGGCGCCAUCGAGGAGUAG